rnacentral:rRNA from 1 species
GUUACCCAAGAAAAGAACUUAAAUUCUGCAUUAAUUUUUUUAAAUAUCAAUUAAGAAAUAUCACUUUAAGAUAAAAAAUAAGAAUUAAUAGUUAUUUAGAAGAGGUACAGCCCUUCUAAAUUAAGAUACAACUUUUAAAGGUGGGUAAUGAUCAUAUUUAUUAAAGGAUUCUUCCCUAGUAGGCCUAAGAGCAGCCAUCUGUAAAGUAAGCGUCACAGCUCCAGCAUCAUCUAAUCCUAUAAUUUUGAUAUUUAUUUCAAAACCCCCUUGAUUUUAUUGGAUUUUUUUAUAAAAAUAAAAGAACUUAUGCUAAAAUGAGUAAUAUGAGGCCAAACCUCUCCCAACACAAGUGUAAAUCAGAAAGAAUUAAAUCACUGAUAAUUAACGGACCCAAACUGAGGGUAUAAUAAUGAUUUAUUGUUAACUAGAAAAUCUUAUUUAAUUUACCAUUAACCCUACACAGGAGUGUUUUAAGGAAAGAUUAAAAGAAAAUAAAGGAACUCGGCAAACAUAAACUCCGCCUGUUUACCAAAAACAUCGCCUCUUGAUUAUUAUAAGAGGUCCCGCCUGCCCUGUGACAAUGUUUAACGGCCGCGGUAUUUUG